GAUGAACGCUAGCGAUAGGCCUAACACAUGCAAGUCGAGGGGCAGCAUAGAGUAGCAAUACUUUGAUGGCGACCGGCGCACGGGUGAGUAACACGUAUGCAACCUACCUACAUCAGGGGAAUAACCCGGAGAAAUUCGGACUAAUACCGCAUAAUACAGGGAUGCCGCAUGGCAAUAUUUGUUAAAGAUUUAUCGGAUGUAGAUGGGCAUGCGUUCCAUUAGCUAGUUGGUAAGGUAACGGCUUACCAAGGCAACGAUGGAUAGGGGAACUGAGAGGUUUGUCCCCCACACUGGAACUGAGACACGGACCAGACUCCUACGGGAGGCAGCAGUGAGGAAUAUUGGUCAAUGGACGAGAGUCUGAACCAGCCAAAUCGCGUGAAGGAAGACUGCCCUACGGGUUGUAAACUUCUUUUGUACAGGAAUAAAAGACAUUACGUGUAAUGUAUUGCAUGUACUGUACGAAUAAGCAUCGGCUAACUCCGUGC
rnacentral:rRNA from 1 species